GACGAACGCUGGCGGCGUGCCUAAUACAUGCAAGUAGGACGCAGUUGCGCACGGGUGAGUAACGCGUAGGUAACUACCUAUUAGAGGGGGAUAACUAUUGGAAACGAUAGCUAAUACCGCAUACUAGUAGAUGGACCUGCGUUGUAUUAGCUAGUAGGUAGGGUAAUGGCCUACCUAGGCAACGAUACAUAGCCGACCUGGGAGGGUGAACGGCCAAAAUGGGAGUGGGACACGGCCCAGACUCCGACGGGAAGCAACAGUAGGGGAUCAUCGGAAAUGGGGGGAACCCUGACCGAGCAACGGCGCGUGAGUGAAGAAGGUUGUCGGGUCGUAAAGCUCUGUUGUUAAGGAAGCGGUACUUAACCAGAAAGUGACGGCUAACUACGUGCCAGCAGCCGCGGUAAUAC
rnacentral:rRNA from 1 species